rnacentral:rRNA from 1 species
GGAGGAAGGAGAAGUCGUAACAAGGUUUCCGUAGGUGAACCUGCGGAAGGAUCAUUGUCGUAUCCCGGCUCGGCACACUCGCGAACUGUCCCAUCCCGUCCGGCCUCUCGGUACGACGCCCCGCCCGCCGGGGCGCCGACCGACCGACCGACGAACGAACCUUUUUCGGCGCGGUCUGCGCCAAGGAACACCGACCGACGAGAACGCCCGCGCCGUCCUCGCUCCGUGCCUGGCCGCGCGGGCGCUCCCACGUACAGCCGCGAUAAAAAUCUUAACGACUCCCGGCAACGGAUAUCUAGGCUCUCGCAUCGAUGAAGAACGUAGCGAAAUGCGAUACGUGGUGUGAAUUGCAGAAUCCCGUGAACCAUCGAAUCUUUGAACGCAAGUUGCGCCCGAGGCCGUCAGGCCGAGGGCACGCCUGCCUGGGCGUCACGCCCCGCGUCGCUCCCACCCCCCGCCGCCCGCACGGCGCGGCGGCGGCGGCCGUGGGACGCGGAGAUUGGCCUACCGUGCUGCGGCGCGGCGGGCCGAAGUGCUCGAACCCUUCCCCGUGCGUGGGGCGAGAACACGGCGAGUGGUGGAUUGGAUCGGACUGACCGGCUCAUCGUCGCCGUGCCCUUCUCGCCCCGCCGCCCGGCGGGCGGGAUUCACGAAACCCAGCCGCGAGCGGCCGUUCGGAGGAAACGCCGACGCCCGCUCCGACCGCGACCCCAGGUCAGGCGGGGCCACCCGCUGAGUUUAAGCAU